AUGGCUGAAGAGUUCAAUUGGAUUGUGACUCUGGUGAGGAGUCCCACUGAGAUUAGAACUCUGGAGGAGAGUCCCACUGGACUGAGACUCUACUAUUAAUAAAAAAUUAAUUAGUAAUUAAAUUAACUCAAUAUGAUUGAGUAAAGAGCUUUGGAUCAAGUCUAAUUGAAUUAGAUUCAGUUUGAUUUAGAUUGGGUUUGAUUUGAUAAGCCUGAUUGCAAGAGAAAUUUGAUCCUGAUUCGAUCAAGACUUGGGCUUAGCUAAUUCCUAAUUGGGUUACAAAUUUAUUGAGAUAAUUAGGCUCCUAAUUAGAUUAGGUUCAUUUCUAUCAUUGGGUUCAAAUUAGAUUUGAUUUGCUUUAGAAUUAAUUUGAAAAUGAAGAGUCCAAGCCAAUAGGGACUCUAUCUCUUUAUCCUUGCGCCACCCUGGACCCAUCCACUGGAUCUCAAUGCCCAAUUGGAUUUGGCUUGAGAUUUUUGACAUGAUGAGAGUGGGCCCAGUAAGGGUGGGCAGCAAAGCAUGAUGAGUCAUGAUCUCAUCUCCUGCCUAAUUCGAAUGCGAUCCGAAUUAGAGAUAAGAAGAUAAGAAGGAAAG
rnacentral:lncRNA from 1 species